UUCCCCUACUAUGUAUAAGAAAUCCCCAAAUAGACUAAAGCUAAGAACCCUAAAAGCAGCUGCUUCGCACAUCCAAGGGCCAAUGUCUUCUGUCACAGAAUAAGUUGAAUGUUACUAUGGGAGAUCGGCCGUUCUUCGCACAUCAUGGACAGAGGAAAACCUAGGUCGUCGAUUCCAUUCUUGUUGACAUUACAAGGCCUUCCUGCUCUUCUUCCAAAAUUUGGUGGUAGAGGAAGCAUGAUGCAAGACUCAGCCCACAUUCCUUCAUGACUCAUUGGUUUGAUCGCAGGUGCAUAAACAACCUUAUAUGCAUCAAACAAUAUAAACAUGCAUGCACAAAGUUUACUGGAUCUAAUUUUUGAUUGUAUAUUCAAGAACAAGCAUGCUUACAAGGUAUGUCAGAUAAUUGUCACUUCCUGCAACUACAACUUCUUGCACUGAAGUCAAAACAGUUCUGGCUUCCAUGAAAAUAGAAAAAUUAAUAAUUUGUGUCAUCAGCCUUAAUAGGCAUACAGUCAUAUAUCUUUGCAGCCUAUUUUUCUAAGAUGAUCUGAAUUUUAGGACAUUUUUCCUGUUCAUUUGUUUGAA